AAAAUAAUUAUAAAAUAAUUAUUUCUAUCUCAGAUUUGUGGUCACGAAACCACUAUUUCGAUUAGGCCUUAAUUUGGGAUAUUACAGCAAUAGCCUAUAAGACUUUGACGGUGUUGAGUUGGAAACAACAAGAGUCAGUUUGGUAGUACAUUUGGAAGUUUCAGAGGGCCCAUGAAUUUUCUUUGGCUUGUGUGGCAUGAACGGCUUCAAACAAACAAGGAAAAACGUUGGCAAUGACUUACAGGGUUUUCUACAUGUACAAUAUGCGGAGCUCAAACUGAAACUUUGCUUCAUGUUCUCCGAGAUUGUUCACGUGUACAGUUGCUUUGGAAUAAGUUGAUCUAAAAUGAGUAGGCUAUCUCAUUUUCAAUCUCUUCCUUACAUGAUUGGCUUUGUGUAAACCUUACUUUCCUUGUUGGGUAAGUUUCGACCUGCAUGAAAGGCGUAAUGAUCUGGGCACUAUCUCAGAGAGGGGCUCGGUGAAAUAGACAUGUCUGUGAAGAUGCGGACUAUCCGCACUUGGACAAAAAUACUUUAUGAAGCUUCAUUGUUUCUUGGGAUUGGCUUUGGGCUUUUUCUGCUCAGCUUAAGGGCUUGAGCCAUCAGUGAGAUACCAUUCUGAAAAAGCUAGAAUUCUAACCUUGUGUUAAGACCUACGGGCCAAGGGAUAGUCUCAGGUAAACAAUUUCUAUAGGGCGUAAACCUCCCAAAAGGUAACGAAGCCGUGCAAAGGUUUUCUCAGUCCGGACGGAGAUUGGCCCUCGAGUGCAAAGGCAGAAGGGAGCUUGGCUGAACCCCGUAAAAUCAUUUCAUAGAAGUUCAUUGAUAUCUUCUUUUUAUAAAGCAAAUCGACUUCAAUUCUUAAAUAAUUCACAUCUGGAGGUGCAAAUUGGAUUACGUUGUAUGGGGUCUCAUUUUAGCUGAUUUGGAAGUGACAUAAUAUGUUGGGCUUU
rnacentral:ncRNA from 1 species